rnacentral:tRNA from 1 species
AAAUUAGAAAUAAUAAUUAUAAUUAAUUUCGAACUAAUAAAUGAUAAUUCAAACUUAUCCUAAUUUA